rnacentral:rRNA from 1 species
CCUACGGGAGGCAGCAGUAAGGAAUAUUGGUCAAUGGACGAAAGUCUGAACCAGCCAUGCCGCGUGAAGGAUGAAGGCCCUCUGGGUUGUAAACUUCUUUUAUCUGGGACGAAAAAAGGGAAUUCUUUCCCACUUGACGGUACCAGAGGAAUAAGCACCGGCUAACUCCGUGCCAGCAGCCGCGGUAAUACGGAGGGUGCAAGCGUUAUCCGGAUUUACUGGGUUUAAAGGGUGCGUAGGUGGGUAGGUAAGUCAGUGGUGAAAUCUCCGAGCUUAACUCGGAAACUGCCAUUGAUACUAUCUAUCUUGAAUAUCCUGGAGGUGAGCGGAAUAUGUCAUGUAGCGGUGAAAUGCUUAGAUAUGACAUAGAACACCAAUUGCGAAGGCAGCUCACUACGGGAUUAUUGACACUGAGGCACGAAAGCGUGGGGAUCAAACAGGAUUAGAUACCCUGGUAGUCCACGCCCUAAACGAUGGAUACUCGACAUACGCGAUACACUGUGUGUGUCUGAGCGAAAGCAUUAAGUAUCCCACCUGGGAAGUACGAUCGCAAGAUUGAAACUCAAAGGAAUUGACGG